rnacentral:rRNA from 1 species
UGUGACAUACCACUUGUUGCCUCGGCGGAUCAACCCGCUCCCGGGAAAACGGGACGGCCCGCCAGAGGACCCCUAAAACUCUGUUUCUAUAUGUAACUUCUGAAUAAAACCAUAAAUAAAUCAAAACUUUCAACAACGGAUCUCUUGGUUCUGGCAUCGAUGAAGAACGCAGCAAAAUGCGAUAAGUAAUGGGAAUUGCAGAAUUCAGUGAAUCAUCGAAUCUUUGAACGCACAUUGGGCCCGCCAGUAUUCUGGCGGGCAUGCCUGGUCGAGCGUCAUUUCAACCCUCAAGCACAGCUUGGUGUUGGGACUCGCGUUAAUUCGCGUUCCUCAAAUUGAUUGGCGGUCACGUCGAGCUUCCAUAGCGUAGUAGUAAAACCCUCGUUACUGGUAAUCGUCGCGGCCACGCCGUUAAACCCCAACUUCUGAAUGUUGACCUCGGAUCAGGUAGGAAUACCCGCUGAACUUAAGCAUAUCAA